GUGAAUCAUCGAAUCUUUGAACGCAAAUUGCACUCUCUGGGAUUCCGGAGGGGAUGCCGGUUGGAGGGUCAGUUUAAAUAAAAAUCGGUAUGGUUGCUGCCUUUCGGGGUGACGUACCGGAUUUGGGUCGUCGUGCCUUCGGUUAAGUGACUUAUAAUUUUGCAUGAUAUUUUUCGAACGUAUUUAAAUGAUUUUACGUACGUUUGCGAUAUAGAAUACUAGUUGUGGGCAUCCUCAUGGUGCGCGCUUAUAAUUGCUCAUCAA
rnacentral:misc_RNA from 1 species